UAACCGCUGAAAGCAUCUAAGCGGGAAGCCUCACCCAAGAUAAGAUCUCCCUAGACUUUUAAAGUCUCUAAAGGUCCGUCGAAGACUACGACGUUGAUAGGCAGGGUGUGGAAGCACAGCAAUGUGUGAAGCUAACCUGUACUAAUUAACCGUGAGGCUUGAUCAUAUAACACCCAA
rnacentral:rRNA from 1 species